UACAGAGGUCCCAAGCGUUGUUCGGAUCCACUGGGCGUAAAGGGUGCGUAGGCGGUCGGGUAAGUCUGAUGUGAAAUCUCACAGCUUAACUGUGAAACUGCAUUGGAUACUAUUCGGCUUGAGAGUUGGAGGGGGGACUGGAAUUCUUGGUGUAGCAGUGAAAUGCGUAGAUAUCAAGAGGAACACCAGUGGCGAAGGCGAGUCCCUGGACAACUUCUGACGCUGAGGCACGAAAGCUAGGGGAGCAAACAGG
rnacentral:rRNA from 1 species